rnacentral:lncRNA from 1 species
GCAAUAAAAAUGACGCCACAAAACUGCCCUAGUUCUUUCUUCCUCUUCGGGGCCAUUCAAAAAUUGAGAAAAGGGCAAAUCAUACAGCAAGACUCUAAUUCUUAUUCCAGCUUUAUUCUGUCGAUAUCAGUCAUUAUCCCUUCAAGCUUGACAAUUUGGCGCAUAAAGUAAUCACCAUAUUUCUUUGGUGCUUUGGAUUCAACAACAUGAACCAUGUCAUCAUCAAUGUAUCACAACUUCAUAAAGCAGAAUUUCUCACAAUUUCAGAAAUAAAAUCCAAAAUCAGAAUCUAACACAACUUCAUAAAUCAGAAUCAAAUCAAAAUCAAAAUCUAACACAAUUUCAGAAAUCAAAAUCUAACCUUGGAUUGAGAGCAUCAUGUGGAUUGAGAACAUCAUGUGGUAGACAUUGCUGAACGGCGGCGGCAGAGGAGUCCGGCGGCGACCGGUGCAGCGAGCUGGUCAGCGAGAUGACGGAGGAGGCGAGAACUGGAGUGGGUGGUCGAGUGAGUGAGGCGGCGGCGAAGGGCGAACUGGAGAGGGAGACGGCCGAGAUGGGAGUGAGGCGGCAGGCGGGGUGAGGCGAGAGGGGCGGAGAGCGGGAGAACUUCAGAGGGGCGGGGCGUGCGGGAGAACUGGAGAGGGCGGCG